rnacentral:rRNA from 1 species
UACAGAGGUCUCAAGCGUUGUUCGGAUUCAUUGGGCGUAAAGGGUGCGUAGGCGGCGCGGUAAGUCGGGUGUGAAAUCUCGGAGCUUAACUCCGAAACUGCAUUCGAUACUGCCGUGCUUGAGGACUGGAGAGGAGACUGGAAUUUACGGUGUAGCGGUGAAAUGCGUAGAUAUCGUAAGGAAGACCAGUGGCGAAGGCGGGUCUCUGGAAAGUUCCUGACACUGAGGCACGAAGGCCAGGGGAGCAAACGGGG